rnacentral:rRNA from 1 species
GACGAACGCUGGCGGCGUGCUUAACACAUGCAAGUCGAACGGAAAGGCCCUGCUUGCAGGGUACUCGAGUGGCGAACGGGUGAGUAACACGUGGGUGAUCUGCCCUGCACUUCGGGAUAAGCCUGGGAAACUGGGUCUAAUACCGGAUAUGACCUUCCAUGUAGUGUGGGGGGUGGAAAGAUUUAUCGGUGUGGGAUGAGCCCGCGGCCUAUCAGCUUGUUGGUGGGGUAAUGGCCUACCAAGGCGUCGACGGGUAGCCGGCCUGAGAGGGUGGACGGCCACAUUGGGACUGAGAUACGGCCCAGACUCCUACGGGAGGCAGCAGUGGGGAAUAUUGCACAAUGGGCGGAAGCCUUAUGCAGCGACGCCGCGUGGGGGAUGACGGCCAUCGGGUUGUAAACCUCUUUCGACAGGGACGAAGCUUCGGUGACGGUACCUGUAUAAGAAGCACCGGCUAACUACGUG